CGAUUCUGGCUCAGGAUGAACGCUGGCGGCGUGCUUAACACAUGCAAGUCGAACGGGAUCCAUUGGGCUUUGCUUGGUGGUGAGAGUGGCGAACGGGUGAGUAAUGCGUGACCGACCUGCCCCAUGCUCCGGAAUAGCUCCUGGAAACGGGUUAAUGCCGGAUGUUCCACAUGAUCGCAUGUGAUUGUGGGAAAGAUUCUAUCGGCGUGGGAUGGGGUCGCGUCCUAUCAGCUUGUUGGUGAGGUAACGGCUCACCAAGGCUUCGACGGGUAGCCGGCCUGAGAGGGCGACCGGCCACAUUGGGACUGAGAUACGGCCCAGACUCCUACGGGAGGCAGCAGUGGGGAAUAUUGCACAAUGGGCGCAAGCCUGAUGCAGCGACGCCGCGUGAGGGAUGGAGGCCUUCGGGUUGUAAACCUCUUUUGUUUGGGAGCAAGCCUUCGGGUGAGUGUACCUUUCGAAUAAGCGCCGGCUAACUACGUGCCAGCAGCCGCGGUAAUACGUAGGGCGCAAGCGUUAUCCGGAUUUAUUGGGCGUAAAGGGCUCGUAGGCGGCUCGUCGCGUCCGGUGUGAAAGUCCAUCGCUUAACGGUGGAUCUGCGCCGGGUACGGGCGGGCUGGAGUGCGGUAGGGGAGACUGGAAUUCCCGGUGUAACGGUGGAAUGUGUAGAUAUCGGGAAGAACACCGAUGGCGAAGGCAGGUCUCUGGGCCGUCACUGACGCUGAGGAGCGAAAGCGUGGGGAGCGAACAGGAUUAGAUACCCUGGUAGUCCACGCCGUAAACGGUGGACGCUGGAUGUGGGGCACGUUCCACGUGCUCCGUGUCGGAGCUAACGCGUUAAGCGUCCCGCCUGGGGAGUACGGCCGCAAGGCUAAAACUCAAAGAAAUUGACGGGGGCCCGCACAAGCGGCGGAGCAUGCGGAUUAAUUCGAUGCAACGCGAAGAACCUUACCUGGGCUUGACAUGUUCCCGACGACGCCAGAGAUGGCGUUUCCCUUCGGGGCGGGUUCACAGGUGGUGCAUGGUCGUCGUCAGCUCGUGUCGUGAGAUGUUGGGUUAAGUCCCGCAACGAGCGCAACCCUCGCCCCGUGUUGCCAGCACGUUAUGGUGGGAACUCACGGGGGACCGCCGGGGUUAACUCGGAGGAAGGAGGGGAUGACGUCAGAUCAUCAUGCCCCUUACGUCCAGGGCUUCACGCAUGCUACAAUGGCCGGUACAGCGGGAUGCGACAUGGCGACAUGGAGCGGAUCCCUGAAAACCGGUCUCAGUUCGGAUCGGAGCCUGCAACCCGGCUCCGUGAAGGCGGAGUCGCUAGUAAUCGCGGAUCAGCAACGCCGCGGUGAAUGCGUUCCCGGGG
rnacentral:rRNA from 1 species